AUUGAACGCUGGCGGCAGGCCUAACACAUGCAAGUCGAACGGGCGGCGGACGGGUGAGUAAUGCAUGGGACUCUAGCUUAUGGAGGGGGAUAACUACGGGAAACUGUAGCUAAUACCGCGUACAAGAGGAUGAGCCCAAGUGGGAUUAGGUAGUUGGUGAGGUAAAGGCUCACCAAGCCGGCGAUCUCUAGCUGGUCUGAGAGGAUGAACAGCCAAACUGGGACUGAGACACGGCCCAGACUCCUACGGGAGGCAGCAGUGGGGAAUAUUGCGCAAUGGGGGCAACCUGACGCAGCCAUGCCGCGUGAGUGAAGAAGGCCUUCGGGUUGUAAAGUACUUUCAGUUGCGAGGCGUUACCUACAGAAGAAGCACCGGCUAACUCCGUGCCAGCAGCCGCGGUAAUUC
rnacentral:rRNA from 1 species